rnacentral:tRNA from 1 species
GUCCUGUGGUGUACAGCACAUAAAAUUGCAAAUUUUAAAGAGCAAAUAUCUCUGCCGGGGCUU